GUCUCUCCUGCCACCAUGUGAAGAAGGUGCUUGUUUCCCCUUUGCCUUCCGCCAUGAGUGUAAGUUUCCUGAGGUCUCCCAGUCAUACUGCUGGUUAAGCCUGCAGAACGGUGCUGCUGACAGCCAUCGUGUGCUGCGGAGGAAGAUUGCCUGAGAAUGGAGCCAUUCAGGAGGAAAUGGGGCAGAGAAAUAAAGAGAAAUCAAAUCCCA
rnacentral:lncRNA from 10 species